ensembl:lncRNA
CGGGACUGUAGUCCGUCAGUCCCCUCUGUCCGUGGGAUUCUCCAGGCUUAGCCACUAGCAACAAAGAAAAGGGCUCGUUUGCACAGCUGUUGCCCAAAGAACUGAACAAAAGGCUGAAACUUUAACUUGAAUUUGAAAGAAAAAAAUAAAAUCAACUGACAGAACAGAAGCACAAAUAUCAGGGAAGUCAAGAGAGACAAGAACUUCAUGAGGGACUAACUUGGAGAAGAAAGUUAUGACCAACCUAGACAGCAUAUUGAAAAGCAGAGACAUUACUUCGUCAACAAAGGUCCGUCUAGUCAAGACUAUGGUUUUUCCAGUGGUCAUGUAUGGAUGUGAGAGUUGGACUAAAAGAAAGCUGAGGGCUGAAGAAUUGAUGCUUUUGAACUGUGG